rnacentral:rRNA from 1 species
UGGGGAAUUUUGGACAAUGGGCGAAAGCCUGAUCCAGCAAUGCCGCGUGUGUGAAGAAGGCCUUCGGGUUGUAAAGCACUUUUGUCCGGAAAGAAAUCCUUGGCUCUAAUACAGUCGGGGGAUGACGGUACCGGAAGAAUAAGCACCGGCUAACUACGUGCCAGCAGCCGCGGUAAUACGUAGGGUGCAAGCGUUAAUCGGAAUUACUGGGCGUAAAGCGUGCGCAGGCGGUUUGCUAAGACCGAUGUGAAAUCCCCGGGCUCAACCUGGGAACUGCAUUGGUGACUGGCAGGCUAGAGUAUGGCAGAGGGGGGUAGAAUUCCACGUGUAGCAGUGAAAUGCGUAGAGAUGUGAGGAAUACCGAUGGCGAAGGCAGCCCCCUGGGCCAAUACUGACGCUCAUGCACGAAAGCGUGGGGGAGCAAAACAGGAUUAGAUACCCCUGGUAGUCCACGCCCUAAACGAUGUCAACUAGUUGUUGGGGAUUCAUUUCCUUAGUAACGUAGCUAACGCGUGAAGUUGACCGCCUGGGGAGUAC